GCAUCAUUGUAAAGAUGAUGCAAUAUUGACUAUGUUGAAUAAAAUUCUAGGUAGAAUUAUGAUAAUGACAUUGUCUGCCUAUGUGUCUUGACCAAAUUACGUGCCAGCAGUCGCGGUAAUACGUAGAAGACUAGUGUUAUUCAUGUUUAAUCGGUUUAAAGGGUACCUAGACGGCAGAUCAAGCUUUCCGAGCAGAAAAAAAGUAAAAAGGACUAAUUUGCUAGAGUUACUUACGAGGGGGUUUUAAAGUACUGCUGGUGUAGAGAUGAAAUUCUUUAAUACCUAUUUUCGAAAGAAUUAUAAUGGCACAGGUAUAGGCGAAGGCAUCCCCUUAUGUGAUAACUGACGUUGAGGGACGAAGGCUUUAUACAACGAACGGGAUUAGAUACCCCAUUAGUGGAAGCAGUAAAUGAUGAAUGUCAUAGAUUAGUAGAUAGGUUCAUUCUAUAAAUGAAAGUGUAAGCAUUCCACCUCAUGAGUAAUAUGGCAACAUUGGAAUUGAAAUCAUUAGACCGUAUCUGAAACCAGUAGUGAAGUAUGUUGUUUAAUUUGAUGAUCCGCAAAAAACCUUACCACAAUUUGAAUAUUUAUAUUUUUUUUUUUUGUCCUUAAUUUUCUUCUAAAGUGGAAAGAAAUUAAUAAAGAGGCAAUAAGAUAUAUUUACAAGCGUUGCACGGCUGUCUUCAGUUAAUGUCGCGAGAUUUUGGUUAGAUCCAUAAAAUUAACGUAAACCCUUACUUUAUUUUU
rnacentral:rRNA from 1 species